UAGGAAACAUUGUUGCGGAAACAUUGUUUCCUACCAAUGUUUCGCCAUGUUUCCAAGAGUGGGCAAACACUAGGAAACUUUAGUGAGAAACAUAGGGAAACAUCAAAUGUUUCUGAAUUCGCUAGGAAACAUUUUUGCUUCUCGGGAAGCAAAUUUUGUUUCCGCAACAAUGUUUCCACGGGUGGGCAAACAGGGAAACAUUUGAGGAAACAUCGAGAAUCACA